rnacentral:rRNA from 1 species
UACGGAGGGAGCUAGCGUUGUUCGGAAUUACUGGGCGUAAAGCGCACGUAGGCGGCUUUGUAAGUUAGUGGUGAAAGCCCGGGGCUCAACUCCGGAACUGCCUUUAAGACUGCAUCGCUUGAAUCCAGGAGAGGUGAGUGGAAUUCCGAGUGUAGAGGUGAAAUUCGUAGAUAUUCGGAAGAACACCAGUGGCGAAGGCGGCUCACUGGACUGGUAUUGACGCUGAGGUGCGAAAGCGUGGGGAGCAAACAGG